AAUAGAUACCCCGGUAGUCCACGCCGUAAACGAUGGAUGCUAGCUAUUGGGGGGAAUCGACCCCCUCCGAAGCGAAGCUAACGCGUUAAGCAUCCCGCCUGAGUAGUACGAGCGCAAGCUUAAAACUCAAAGGAAUUGACGGGGACCCGCACAAGCGGUGGAGCGUGUGGUUUAAUUCGAUGGUAAACGAAGAACCUUACCAAGGUUUGACAUCCCGGUAGCCGUUCUCCGAAAGGAGAAUUUCAUUUAGUUGGACCGGUGACAGGUGAUGCAUGGCCGUCGUCAGCUCGUGUCGUGAGAUGUUGGGUUAAGUCCCGCAACGAGCGCAACCCUUAUGAUUUAGUUGGAUUUUUCUAAACAGACUUGCCCUGGUAACAGGGAGGAAGGAGGGGAUGAUGUCAGGUCAGUAUUUCCCGUUAACACCUUGGGGCGACGACACGCGCUACAAUGGCCGGUACAAUGGGCAGCUAAGCCGCGAGGUGGAGCAAAUCCCGAUCAAAGCCGGUCCCAGUUCGGAUUGCAGGCUGAAACCGCCUGCAUGAAGCCGGAAUCGCUAGUACC
rnacentral:rRNA from 1 species